CAGAAAAUAGUUUAAAAAAAAUAUUAAUUUUGGAGGUUAAAGAUAGCGGGUAAAGUUUUUUCUGA
rnacentral:tRNA from 1 species